rnacentral:rRNA from 1 species
UAGGGAAUCUUCCACAAUGGACGCAAGUCUGAUGGAGCAACGCCGCGUGAGUGAAGAAGGUUUUCGGACCGUAAAGCUCUGUUGUUGGUGAAGAAGGAUAGAGGUAGUAACUGGCCUUUAUUUGACGGUAAUCAACCAGAAAGUCACGGCUAACUACGUGCCAGCAGCCGCGGUAAUACGUAGGUGGCAAGCGUUGUCCGGAUUUAUUGGGCGUAAAGCGAGCGCAGGCGGAAGAAUAAGUCUGAUGUGAAAGCCCUCGGCUUAACCGAGGAAUUGCAUCGGAAACUGUUUUCUUGGGUGCAGAAGAGGAGAGUAGAACUCCAUGUGUAGCGGUGGAAUGCGUAGAUAUAUGGAAGAAUACCAGUGGCGAAGGCGGCUCUCUGGUCUGCAACUGACGCUGAGGCUCGAAAGCAUGGGUAGCGAACAGGAUUAGAUACCCUGGUAGUCCAUGCCGUAAAACGAUGAGUGCUAAGUGUUGGGAGGCUUCCGCCUCUCAGUGCUGCAGCUAACGCAUUAAGCACUCCGCCUGGGGAGUACGACCGCAAGGUUGAAAC